GACGAACGCUGGCGGCGUGCUUAACACAUGCAAGUCGAACGGAAAGGCCUCUUUCGGGGGGUACUCGAGUGGCGAACGGGUGAGUAACACGUGAGUAACCUGCCCUUGACUUUGGGAUGACUUCAGGAAACUGGGGCUAAUACCGGAUAGGAGCUCCUGCUGCAUGGUGGGGGUUGGAAAGUUUCGGCGGUUGGGGAUGGACUCGCGGCUUAUCAGCUUGUUGGUGGGGUAGAGGCUUACCAAGGCUUUGACGGGUAGCCGGCCUGAGAGGGUGACCGGCCACAUUGGGACUGAGAUACGGCCCAGACUCCUACGGGAGGCAGCAGUGGGGAAUAUUGCACAAUGGGUGGAAGCCUGAUGCAGCAACGCCGUGUGCGGGAUGACGGCCUUCGGGUUGUAAACCGCUUUCGCUCAUGACGAAGCUUUGUGUGACGGUAGUGGGUAAAGAAGCACCGGCUAACUACGUG
rnacentral:rRNA from 1 species